CCUUUUUAAAAUGAGUUAGGUAUCUUGAGGUUAUUUUCAGUGUGUAUAUCUCGACAAACACACAGAGCACAUUUUACUGUACUUCCCUAGUUCACAGAAUUAUACAGAAAUAAACGUGCAAAAGAAGGGGUCUGUACAGAGUACACUAAUAAGAAGAUGCAACUCUCAAACAGCACAAGAGUUAACACAAAAGAUGCACUCACUUUUUACUUUCCCCACUCAACGCUGACAAAAAAAGCUACAGCAGAAAAAGGAAAAAACCGAAGCCAACCAACAGUGCCCAAGACAGGAAAAAAAAUGAGGAGGGCAACACUGAAAAUGUUUUGGCUUUUGAAAAGCAAAAUUUGUUCAAUUGGAAAUGAAAUAAAUGUUUUCAUUUCAUUUUGUCGUUUGUCAGCAAAUGACAUUUUCUCUCAAAAUUUCUGAUUCAACUUGUUUCAGCAGAAAAAAAAAAUCUAUUAGAAAGUGUCAACCAGCUCUAGCAUUCAAAGAGCCAAAAUCUUUAAAACAUUUUGUUGAGAAUGAUAGCAGCAUUUACGAAGACCCUGAAAUCCUUACCCCUGCAAAAAAUUCCCACUAGAGAUAAAAGCAGAACCCAUCAUCAGUAUGGACAUACGUCCUCUGGAAUGGUGUUUGAAGCAUAAAGGGACAUAUGAAUGUCUAGCACAUCUGGCACAAAUAUCUUGCAAUGACGACAAGAACAGUAACAUGUGAAUGCUUCUCACUUUCAGGUGAUAUUGUAAACAAGAAGCAGGCAGCAUUUUCUCCUGCAAAUGUAAACAACUUGUUUGCCUGAGAUGAAGUAGUAGGCGGUCUGAAUAGACUUGUCAGUUACCAGAUGUGACAAAUCAACCAAGAAUUGAACUUCACCCAGAACAUCUCCUAUUCCAUUGCCUAUUUGGUCUGUAUUGGUACUAGAGAUGUUAAGUAGCGAUUAAUUUACUAGUCGAUGGAAUUUCCACCGACUAUUUGACUACAGUGAGCCCUCG